AGAGGGAGAGAGGGAGGAGCGCGUGCAGAGAAGAGCAGAGUAGAGCAGGAGCGCUCUUUACUGGUUAGGAGAUGUUCUCCUGAGUGCAGUCAGGAUCUCCAGCUGGAUGGAGGAGAUAUUUAGUGAAGGAUUUCUUUCUCAGUCUGGCGCAGAGUCCGGAAGUCGUGCUGCGGGAUACUGCACUUCAUCCGGCAGUAAACAAUAACAAUAAUAAUAAUAAUAAUAAUAAUAGUUGGGAUCAUCACCCACACGGAGCGGAAUCUUGAAUCCGGUUUAAAUCUCUGAAAGCGGUUGGUGUGAGAGCUGAUUCACGAUGGUACAGCAGUAUCAAUCCCCCGUGCGUGUCUACAAGCACUCCUUCGAGCUGGUCAUGACUGCGUACGAAAGGAGGUUCCCCACGUGCCAUCUCAUCCCCAUGUUUGUGGACAGUGAUGUCCUCAAUGAGGAAACAAGUGAAGAUAACUCCACCCACAAAAUCGAGGCGGUGCAAGCUGGAUGUCGGCGCCCC